AGACGAACCGGACAAACGUUAUUCGGAAUCAUUGGGCUUAAAGGGUGCGUAGGCGGUGCGGAAAGUUGGGUGUGAAAUCCCUCGGCUCAACCGAGGAACUGCGCUCAAAACUUCCGUGCUAGAGUGAGACAGAGGUGAGCGGAACUGAUGGUGGAGCGGUGAAAUGCGUUGAUAUCAUCAGGAACACCGGUGGCGAAGGCGGCUCACUGGGUCUCUACUGUCGCUGAGGCACGAAAGCUAAGGUAGCGAACAGGAUUAGAAACCCCAGUAGUCC
rnacentral:rRNA from 1 species